ACAAAGUCUUUCAAAUAGAUAAAAUCCAAGUAAAUAUGUUACAUGCUCAAUUGUAAUGCUAUUGAAAUAUAUAGCUGCACUCUACAUUAUGAAAUAAAUUAAAAUACACACUGGAUGGCAUCAUGUUAAGUGACCAACAAACAGAUAUUUUCAUUGGAAACUUCAUGUUUUAACCUCCCCGUCUUCACCGGGAACUGCUUCCUGUUUGUUUCACCAAUGGGAUCACUAUUUAGUUGUUCAAAAUCACUGUGGAGUGAUGGCAUCUUAAAGUCUCGUAUUCAUAUGGGUUCCAACCAGUGGCGGAACCAGAACAAAAUUUGAGGGCGAUUACCGAAGGUCCGGAGUAGCAAUGUGUAGGUUGCAGCGGCGAAGAAGCGGAGUUAAGGUCCUUGGGUUUGAUUUUGACCCAGAUUGAAAAAAAUAGAAACCUCUUGCUUGGUGUAUGUAAACCUCCAAAACCCCAAUGAACUUCUAUUGUUUCUGUUAAAGUUGAACAUAUAUCUAGUUUCCUUAAUGUUCUUUGAUACUUUAAAAGGCUAUCAAGUUACUUCACAUGUUUUAAGUUACAGAAAAUCUGCUAUUCAAUUGAGUGGGAUCAACCAUUUACACUAUUAAGCUCUAAUGAUUCAAUGCUUUUUCACAAGUUAGACAUGUAAAUAUAACAUGUUUGUUAAUGUGACAAGUGAGAACCACUUCCAGUACCUUAAAUCAUGUUUCACCUGAACUACGACACUUCAGAGAGAUUAAUUCAUGAAAGAACUUUUCUACCACUGAGAAAAGAGCAUUACCUUGUGUUGUUCCCAAUUUGUCAAGGAUGAUGGUAUAGAUGAGCAGGGUAUAAUAACCUUCGGCUUCCCCCAUCUUGCCCUAAGGUCCUGCACUGCACCUAAUAUUUCAAGGGGAGUCAUAAAAGUGAAAAUCUAUUACACACAAUAAGAGGUCAGAGUUGGUUGCAAAAUAGCAUAAACAAACUCCAGUAUAAUUCUAAAAAAUUGAUGACUUGCCGAAUAUAAACAAAACAAAGAGAAUAUGUCAUAGGAAUGUUUUAUAUAGAAGCAUUCUCAGAAACAAGAGUUCAUCAGCAUAUUAAGAAAAAAAACAUAUACCGGAAACAAGAGUGUAGCAGUACCCAAGAGGUCUUUGUAUUCUACUUCUUACUGGUUGGUGUUAAGCUUCUAGUAAUACUCAGCAGUGUUAAGCAAUGACAUUGAUUGUAGAUUUCAAUUAAGUUUUUAUUAUGACCAUUGAACGUUGACAUGGCACCAAUCAUACAGUAUAUACUUGUAAUUUGAAAUAUCAGAUUGUUACUAUCAUACAUGUUUAACUUAUGAAAAAGCAUUGAAUCAUAAUAUAAUUUAAUUAAGUACAUACUUGUAAUUUGACAUAUCAGAUUGUUACUAUCAUUAAAUACUAAUAACCACGGAAGAAAUAAAUUACAAUUCUAUCUGAAAGAGAGAUUUUUUGGAAGUUGUUGUGCAUUUGCUGGUGGGAAUCGUCUUAAUUUCCUCUUGAGAUAAAGCUUGUCCAAAUGAUAAAAAGAACUUUAGUAAAUAAUGAAACACAUACACAAUAUAUAUAUAUAUAUAUAUAUAUAUAUAUAUAAAAUCCAGAAAUUUGAAAUAAAAUAAAAAAUGUACCAUAAUUUAGCAUCUAUGUCAGAAAUCACUCUAAAUCUCUGAUCUGAUGGGUUUUGAUUAAACAUCAAUCUUCAGUUAGCAAUUAAGUUAGUAAGAUUCUAUCAGUGAAGGAAAAGUAAGAAUAAACAACAAGCUAAUUAGGGGAAACACUAAAAGAGAUAUCUUUUCACACACAAAGACAGAGACAGAGAGAGGAAUGAACUUACUGAAUUGAAACUUUUGAUAUUCUUCUCAAUCAUCUUAAUAGAUUUAUAUGAAAUUGGGAUAUGCUGAAAGAGAAAGAAGGAAGAAGGGUAACUUACGCACACGUACACCUACUCCCCCCCUCUCCCUCUCCCUCUCCCUCUCCCUCACAGCCGGAGAAGAAGAAGUCGGAAGACGACCCGAGCACCGCUGGCUGCCCCCCACAUCCCCGCCCCUAUGUUCCGCCUGGACCGGCCUCCCUACCGGGGUCAGAUGCGACGACCGGAGCACNNNNNNNNNNNNNNNNNNNNNNNNNNNNNNNNNNNNNNNNNNNNNNNNNNNNNNNNNNNNNNNNNNNNNNNNNNNNNNNNNNNNNNNNNNNNNNNNNNNNGUUCCGCCUCUGGUUCCAACAACAGAUCCCGGUGGCUAUUUUUUCCCCAGCUCUCUUUAGUAAUCAUUAUUAACACAACUGAAGCACUGGUACAAACAGGUUUCAGCAAUUGGCUAUUCACUACCUACUAGCCAGCUUUAUUUAAAGCAGGUCGCCGAAAAGGAUUUAUCUUCUUCUGGAGUUUCUGCCUGCCACCAAGAAGUCCAGCUCUACUUUCACCAUUUGUUCAGACAAAACAAACAAGUUGAUUGCCAUUGGAUAAAGCACAAGAAAUGCAGUACAAUUAGUUGAAGAAAAGAUGAUGUCUUUGAGAGGACCAUCCUCCCUGAUCGUUCCAAAAACAUAAAUUACAAUGAUAUAUCCCGUCUACGAUUGAAUUCAAAGAUAUGCUUAACGUGGUUCAUAUGAAAAAAUAAUCUUGACAUAUUUACCAACUUUAAGUCCCAUCUCUUUUUCGAAUACCAGCAUUGAAAACAUGAGGCCUUGGAGUCUUCUCAUCAUUAAAGAACUCAUUAUGUUACCACCAUUAACAGGCAUACUUUAGUCCCCCAUUUAAUAGCUAAUUGCAAGAUUUUUUUUAAGAUAAUGAUAUACCUUGUGAUUUUUAUAAUUAUAAUUUGUAAUAUUUUGAUGAUGUAUUUGAUAUAGUGGGUCAAUUUUAUAAUCCGACUCAGUUCCAUGUAUUGAUAUACGCCGCAAUCGUAAUUUGACAAGAAACUCUCACAAUACAUAAGGACUCUUUUUUUACAAGUCAUAAUUACAAAUUUGUAACUUCUUUUUUUUAAUUUAAUGAAAAUGACAUGGGUUAGGGGAUCAGUUAGUAGUAGCAAAGAGUGAAUACUUUCAAUUACCUCUACAACACUUCGUGCAGCACUGGUUGGGAAGGCCAGGAGGUGGAUGUCAAUGAACAAGUCAGUCUCUUGACAAAGUUCUUGAUGUUGCUUUAAACUUGUCCUAGUCACCUUGCUUUAGCCAUCCAAUUCCUUGAAGAAGUCUAUCAUUUUCUGUCUCACCCUUCCUAGGUUAGUAUUUGCCUAAUUGGUACAUGAGCUGAAAAUGGGGCCAAAUGAAACCACUUUGCGAACCGUGUAAAGCAGGACAGCUCAUACGAGCAAAAACCCAUUUGACCAGUGAAGGGCUUACAGCCAUACAAAAAUGGGAGCUUAUUUACAAAGUUCAGGACCAUCAAUAAGCU
rnacentral:lncRNA from 1 species